UUGACCUCGGAUCAGGUAGGACUACCCGCUGAACUUAAGCAUAUCAAUAAGCGGAGGAAAAGAAACCAACAGGGAUUGCCUCAGUAACGGCGAGUGAAGCGGCAACAGCUCAAAUUUGAAAUCUGGCUUCGGCCCGAGUUGUACUUUGUAGAGGAUGCUUCUGGCGACGCGCCUUCCGAGUCCCCUGGAACGGGGCGCCGAAGAGGGUGAGAGCCCCGUACGGUUGGACGCCGAGCCUGUGUGAAGCUCCUUCGACGAGUCGAGUAGUUUGGGAAUGCUGCUCUAAAUGGGAGGUAAAUUCCUUCUAAAGCUAAAUACCGGCCAGAGACCGAUAGCGCACAAGUAGAGUGAUCGAAAGAUGAAAAGCACUUUGGAAAGAGGGUUAAAAAGUACGUGAAAUUGCUGAAAGGGAAGCGCUUGCGACCAGACUCGCGCCUGGCGGAUCAUCCAGCGUUCUCGCUGGUGCACUUCGCCUGGCACGGGCCAGCAUCGGUUCGGCGGGGGGGAUAAAAGCCCGGGAAACGUAGCUCCCUCCGGGGAGUGUUAUAGUCCCCCGCCCAAUGUUCCCUGCCGGACCGUGGACCGCGCCUUCGUGCAAGGAUGCUGGCGUAAUGGUCGUUAGCGACCC
rnacentral:rRNA from 1 species